GAUGAACGCUAGCGGCAGGCUUAACACAUGCAAGUCGAGGGGUAGGGCAGCAAUGCUUGAGACCGGCGCACGGGUGCGUAACGCGUAUGCAAUCUACCUUUUGCAGAGGGAUAGCCCAGAGAAAUUUGGAUUAAUACCUCAUAGUAUAAUGAAUUCGCAUGGAUUUAUUAUUAAAGUAACAACGGUAAAAGAUGAGCAUGCGUCCCAUUAGCUAGAUGGUAAGGUAACGGCUUACCAUGGCGACGAUGGGUAGGGGUCCUGAGAGGGAGAUCCCCCACACUGGUACUGAGACACGGACCAGACUCCUACGGGAGGCAGCAGUGAGGAAUAUUGGACAAUGGGCGCAAGCCUGAUCCAGCCAUGCCGCGUGCAGGAUGACGGUCCUAUGGAUUGUAAACUGCUUUUGUACAGGAAGAAACCCUCGGACGUGUCCGAGAUUGACGGUACUGUAAGAAUAAGGAUCGGCUAACUCCGUGCCAGCAGCCGCGGUAAUACGGAGGAUCCAAGCGUUAUCCGGAAUCAUUGGGUUUAAAGGGUCCGUAGGCGGUUUAGUAAGUCAGUGGUGAAAGCCCAUCGCUCAACGGUGGAACGGCCAUUGAUACUGCUAGACUUGAAUUAUAAGGAAGUAACUAGAAUAUGUAGUGUAGCGGUGAAAUGCUUAGAUAUUACAUGGAAUACCAAUUGCGAAGGCAGGUUACUACUUAUGGAUUGACGCUGAUGGACGAAAGCGUGGGUAGCGAACAGGAUUAGAUACCCUGGUAGUCCACGCCGUAAACGAUGGAUACUAGCUGUUGGGAGUAAUCUCAGUGGCUAAGCGAAAGUGAUAAGUAUCCCACCUGGGGAGUACGGCGCCAAGGUUG
rnacentral:rRNA from 1 species